rnacentral:rRNA from 1 species
ACGGGGGCCCGCACAAGCGGAGGAACAUGUGGUUUAAUUCGAUGAUACGCGAGGAACCUUACCCGGGCUUGAACUGCAGGAGAACGAUACAGAGAUGUUGAGGCCCUUCGGGGCUCCUGUGGAGGUGCUGCAUGGUUGUCGUCAGCUCGUGCCGUGAGGUGUCGGCUUAAGUGCCAUAACGAGCGCAACCCUUGUCUGUAGUUGCCAUCAGGUGAUGCUGGGCACUCUGCGGAUACUGCCACCGUAAGGUGUGAGGAAGGUGGGGAUGACGUCAAAUCAGCACGGCCCUUACGUCCGGGGCUACACACGUGUUACAAUGGGGAGUACAGAGAGUCGGUGCAUGGCAAUGUGCAUCCAAUCCUUAAAGCUCUCCUCAGUUCGGAUUGGGGUCUGCAACCCGACCCCAUGAAGCUGGAUUCGCUAGUAAUCGCGCAUCAGCCAUGGCGCGGUGAAUACGUUCCCGGGCCUUGUACACACCGCCCGUCAAGCCAUGAAAGCCGGGGGCGCCUGAAGUCCGUGACCGCGAGGGUCGGCCUAGGGUGAAACCGGUGAUUGGGGCUAAGUCGUAACAAGGUAAC